UCCAGGUGCAGCAGCAGAAGGAAUUCAGGGACCAGCUUUUUUCAAGGACUAAUCCAGACUCCAAAUUGUCAUGUUUCUUCAGAGAGAGCCAAAAGACACAGGGUCUCACUCUGUCACCCAGGCCGGAAUGCAGCGGCAUAAUUGUAACUCACUGCAGCCUCCAUCUCCUGGCUCAAGCGAUCCUCCCAUCUGAGCCUGCUGAGUAUUGGGAUUGCAGGCAAAAUUUAUUACACUUUGAUGGGCCCUACAAAAGUAAAGCAUUUUCUUUGACUGUGAAUGUUCCUUUUAUCCCUCUGAUUCUAAAAUAAAGUAAAACAUUUCUGAAAGUUUCCUGAGCCUACAGUGCUUAAUGGAGCCAGGGACCCUGAGUGGAGGCAUCUAUGGACCUCUUGUUUUGCUUUGCUUUGUUUCACACAAAAAGAGCUUUUAUCUUUCAUCGGAGGUUUAAUUUUAAACGCCGAUCUUGGGAAACUGUUUAGUGACCUGGGAAAGUUACUUAAAGUCUCUGGGCCUGUUUCCUCAUAUGUAAAUUGAGCAUAAUAAUAAUCCCUACCUCACAGGGUUACAGCAAGGAUUAAAUGACUCAAUUCAAGUAAUGUGCUUAGAAGAGUCUGGCAUACAUAGCAAAUCACUCAAUAAAUAC
rnacentral:lncRNA from 1 species